GUGCCGAACAUGUCUAGCGAAAAUAUCAGUUCACAGAAAGUCGGUUUGCUGUAUGGUAGCAUUUCGCUUUCCGUUCAAGCGUUUAAGUAGUGCGAUUACUUAAUCAAAAUCUAGAUUAGUAACUUGCUGCACAAUGAAGAUUCUCCCUCACCAAUCAAGCCGAUAACUCCGAAGUUGACCUGUGAUUAGACUAGGCAUGUGUUACGGCUUAGUUUCAUUAUCUUCCGCUGCUGGACACAACGUGGAACUUAAUCUUCUCGAAACUGGGGAAGCUUUGAGCUACAAACCACACUCCACGGUACUGUUGAAUGAAAAGUAUGGUAAUAGCAAGAAUGUUGGGUUCUUCGUGGAUGGUGACGUGGUUGUCACGACACUCUGGAGCAACGACAACAGCAAGAUAUUACGGAUAGAAGUUAAAGAACCAUAACUUAAUAUUAAGUCAAGGAAAGUACCUGCACCAGAUGGUUUUGUGCCACACGGUUCCAACUUGGAGAACUUGUCCAAUAAACCUCAUCUUUAUGCUGAGGCAACGUCAGUAGUCAAUCUUAAAAAAGGAGUUGCUGUUUCAGAUAUUGGAUGUCGAAAUGCGUGAGACCGACUCUUCAGGAGAAUGUACUGCAAAAUAUUUCUCAACAUCUCAAGAUAAAUUUGACCAAACAACUCCGUAUAUCUCCAGAUUAUUCCUACAUUUACAAUCCUGACGAACAAUAUUAUAAAAUCAAUGACUUCUAAGGAGAGCCAUUAAAUUUGGUCAGGAAAAAUCGCAUUAUUUCACUGGGAUAAUUUAGAAACAGUUCUGGCUCAAAUCGUUACUUCUAGUAUUCUAUUUUAGACUCAGGAGUCUCUUCUAACGAACAAAGAGGAAGAUAACAAAGAUGUUCAAUGUUGUUCCGUUCUAGUGAACGGAUUAAGGAAUAGUUUAAAGAAUGAAGCUUUGGGAGAAUUAAAAUCAGUCAGAAGUUUAAUAAUGCUAAUUAACUCUGAAAGAAGAGCCAGUAAAACGGAAAUCACCAUUGACGAUAAGGAGAAUAAAAAUAUACUUUUACAAUUGUAUGAGGGGGUUUGAUUCAAACUAUUGAUUCACAUUCACAACAAAAUAUUGGUAUUUGAUAAUGAACAGAGUAUCGAUCAAAAUGAACCUUUUAAACAUUUACAAUAAAAACAUGAAUAUCCCAGCUAAAGUCAAAGAGACUAUCAUUCUCAUUUUGACUUCUGAAUCUAAAGUUCUGCACGAAGUGGAAGAAACUAUUAAAUUUAGAUUAUGCAAAAGGAGAAGAACGUUACUAAUUUUUUCAUGCUCUAAAUAAUUUAAAGUCCGGAAGAACCCUCUAAAUUAUAUUAAAUAUGGAAGUCCUAAAGAAGAAUAAUUGAGUUGCAAAGCGAUUACAGCAUAAAUCUGUUCUGAAAGCGGCAGAAAAAACCUUCUUUCAAUUUGACAAAAACGUGAUACAAGUUCCAGAACUAUUUCAGCUGAUAUUAUUCUUUUGUCCAAUCCUUGUUGUUGGAAUAUUUAUAUUCUAAAGAUCCUUUGAAAUCAAAUAAUAUGUACUGCAAACUCUUAAAAUGUUGUCCGAAGAGAGUCCUGAGUUUAAAGAGAAGAUAAUGAGAAUCAUCUGAAAGGGCAACAAACUGAACAACUACUCUACGUGGUCGCCAAGAGGAAUAUCGACUGUUUUAACCAGAAGCUUCAUGAAAACAAUCUCGAGUAAUCGUAAACGAGGUCAAUGUCAUGAUUGACAAAGAUGGCUUCUUUCAAGAGAUUUUCUCCAUUAGUAUAUUUUCUGGUGGUCUUUCCAGUUUUAUGUUCAGUUAUUGGAACGCAGCUCAGACCGUUCGUUUUCUUCAGCGAACAAGGCGAACUUAUGGGUCACGUUUAGUCUGGAACUGCUUCUGAGAAAACGGCUGCGUAUCACGUGAGAUGCUUUAUGAUUUUUUAACGAUUUGUAGGCUAAUGCAUUGUUGUAAGAUCAUUUAGAAUAUAUUUUUUAGAGCUGGAAAUUUUGUUAGUGGGAUAAACCAAAGUUGAUACGGCAUUUAUAAAGUCUCAGGUCGAAUGUACUGCAUCUAUUGAACCGAAAUUGAACCUUAAAACUGAUAUCAAUAUUUUCUCUAAAAUGAAUUUGUGCAUGAGACUAACGCAACCUGAAAUAAUACUCUGUGUUCUGAUACUAUCGUUGGUAUUCACACCAUAUACCUCAUACCCUAUGAAGAUUGAUCUGUGGAUUACAUCCAACCAUGCCUGUAUGCAUAAGGAAGGAUGGCAAAUGCAUUGAAUCGGAAUUCAGAAAUCCGCCAGAAACGAAGAAAAUUUAAUUUGAAACGUACGUAGAAGAUGAAAUUGACUCGCACAGGCGGCCAAUCAAAGAAUGGAGCAACAACACUGCGUACAUUUGGCUUAACCCAAACGAAAAAUUAAGGGGAAAAGUACACAUUUCCCAGGUGCUACAUUUUUUUCCAAAAUGAGAGUCACAGCAGUCCAAAAGGAAUUUUUAGUGAAAUUUAUAUCGGAAAAUCCGAUAUUAAUUUCAAAAAAGUUUACGAAGGAUUAUUCAUCCAAGGAAUACGUUGAGCUUUGGCAAGAAGCCGCAGCUAUUCUGACGGGGCCUGAAAAGACUUGGCAGGGGUGGAAAAAGACGUGGUCCGACAUAAUAGCCAGAACUAAUCUUAACUCGCCACACAGAGAAAGGAAAUUUCGAUAACGGGAGGGGCAGGCGAAAAUUUGCGGCCUUAGCCGCCUUGCGACAGAUAUUGCAGGUCUCAUUAAGCCCUCAUCGGUAGAAGGAGUCGCAAAUGUUCCCCUCCCAAACGUCAAAUACGAAUUUUCUCGUUUGUUCCUGACGUGCGGGGGCCUUCGUCAGCUCCGGACGUGCCUCGCCAGCCCUUACAACGUUCAAGGAGUAAAAAGCAAAAAAGUUCCACAUAUGAUGCAAGGCUUUGGGGAAUAUUGUGAGUGCCUUGAUGCAUCCUCAGCGUCAAAUGCACAGGGCUUAAUCCAAACGGCCCAGGCGUUGUCAUAGACUGCUGUGGCACUGGACCACAUGGCGGAAGCCAUAAAUAAAUUAGCGUAGUCUCGAUAACUAUUUGUUUUUGUUACUAUUUUUGUUAAAAUUUAUUUUCGGAAUUUUAUAUUUUUUUAUAUUAUUAAUUAAAUUAUGUUAUAUAAGCAUA